rnacentral:rRNA from 1 species
GGAGCGUGAAUAUUUGCACAAUGGGCGCAAGCCUGAUGCAGCAACGCCGCGUGAGGGACGACGGCCUUCGGGUUGUAAACCUCUUUUAGCAGGGAAGAAGCGAAAGUGACGGUACCUGCAGAAAAAGCACCGGCUAACUACGUGCCAGCAGCCGCGGUAAUAA